rnacentral:rRNA from 1 species
UACGUAGGUGGCAAGCGUUGUUCGGAAUUAUUGGGCGUAAAGGGCGCGUAGGCGGUUUGUUAAGUCGGUUGUGAAAGCCCGGGGCUCAACCCCGGAGGGUCGACCGAUACUGGCAGGCUAGAGUACAGAAGAGGUAGCUGGAAUUCCUGGUGUAGCGGUGAAAUGCGCAGAUAUCAGGAGGAACACCGGUGGCGAAGGCGGUGGUCUGGGCCGGCACUGACGCUGAGGAGCGAAAGCGUGGGGAGCAAACAGG